rnacentral:rRNA from 1 species
AUACCACUUGUUGCCUCGGCGGAUCAGCCCGCUCCCGGUAAAACGGGACGGCCCGCCAGAGGACCCCUAAACUCUGUUUCUAUAUGUAACUUCUGAGUAAAACCAUAAAUAAAUCAAAACUUUCAACAACGGAUCUCUUGGUUCUGGCAUCGAUGAAGAACGCAGCAAAAUGCGAUAAGUAAUGUGAAUUGCAGAAUUCAGUGAAUCAUCGAAUCUUUGAACGCACAUUGCGCCCGCCAGUAUUCUGGCGGGCAUGCCUGUUCGAGCGUCAUUUCAACCCUCAAGCACAGCUUGGUGUUGGGACUCGCGUUAAUUCGCGUUCCCCAAAUUGAUUGGCGGUCACGUCGAGCUUCCAUAGCGUAGUAGUAAAACCCUCGUUACUGGUAAUCGUCGCGGCCACGCCGUUAAACCCCAACUUCUGAAUGUUGACCUCGGAUCAGGUAGGAAUACCCGCUGAACUUAAGCAUAUCA